rnacentral:rRNA from 1 species
UACGUAGGAUCCAAGCGUUGUCCGGAUUUACUGGGCGUAAAGGGUGCGCAGGCGGACUGGUGAGUCUGGGGUGAAAUCUCGCUGCUUAACAGCGAAACUGCCUUAGAUACUAUCAGUCUUGAAUCAGCGAGAGGUUCGUGGAAUUCCGAGUGUAGCAGUGAAAUGUGUAGAUAUCAGGAGGAAUACCGAUGGCGAAGGCAGGUCUCUGGGCUGACACUGACGCUCAUGCACGAAAGCGUGGGGAGCAAACAGG